UACGUAGGGAGCAAGCGUUGUUCGGAUUUACUGGGCGUAAAGGGCGCGUAGGCGGCCUGUCAAGUCAAUUGUGAAAUCUCCGAGCUUAACUCGGAACGGUCAAUUGAUACUGUCAGGCUAGAGUGCAGAAAGGGCAAUCGGAAUUCUUGGUGUAGCGGUGAAAUGCGUAGAUAUCAAGAGGAACACCUGAGGCGAAGGCGGGUUGCUAGGCUGACACUGACGCUGAGGCGCGAAAGCCAGGGGAGCAAACGGGAUUAGAAACCCCCGUAGUCC
rnacentral:rRNA from 1 species